UACCAGCACCCCGAGCGGUCGGGACGAUUAUUGGGCCUAAAGCAUCCGUAGCCGGUUCUACAAGUCUUCCGUUAAAUCCACCUGCUUAACAGAUGGGCUGCGGAGGAUACUAUAGAGCUAGGAGGCGGGAGAGGCAAGCGGUACUUAGUGGGUAGGGGUAAAAUCCGUUGAUCCAUUGAAGACCACCAGUGGCGAAGGCGGCUUGCCAGAACGCACUCGACGGUGAGGGAUGAAAGCUGGGGGAGCAAACCGG
rnacentral:rRNA from 1 species